ensembl:lncRNA
GGGUGAGUGGCCGUCUGUGUUCCCUCCCUGCUCCUGAUGUCACUCAGACAUUUGAACCCUCCCAGGGAGGGGGAAGGUGCAGUGGAGGCCAGUGUCUCAGCAAUGACCAGGUGGGAACACAGAUGUUAAACGGAAGCAAGACGAGUUGACAAUGGGAGAUUUCACAACAAAGGGCCAUCUAGAAAGAAGCACGCCUUUCACCAGGCUGUCUUCAGUAAUAAAAUCAGAACCGAAGCUUGUUCCCCCUUUUGCAUGUCGUUCUGCCCAGGGGUGAAGAGCACCAACCGCAAGCCACCUGCUCUGCCCUGACCACCCAAGAGAGAGGGACAAGACCAGGUCCUAAGGCUUGCUGCCUCAAAAGUCAUUGGCUAAACGGAUCAAAAUCCCACUACACUGUAGCUUGGUGUAUCCACUCCUCUUGGCCUUGACAAUGGCUGUCUUGAACAUGAAAAUGCAUGGUCACUCUGCAAGUGACUAGGACAAAGGUGGGCCCAAAUGGGAGAAAUUAUCUUUUGAAGACAGGGCAAUGCUGCUGGGUUGGAUUUUGUUGUUUGUUUGUUUGUUUGUUUGUUUGUUUUCCCCAGAGUGACUUUGUUUUGUCUACCCACAAAAUCAUGUGUUAAUUUCAGCCCACAAAUGUGUUUUCUUUCUAUUUCUAUAUUUAAUGCCCUAAUGCACAGUUGUUUUUUUUAAAGCCUUCUGUGUAUAACUAUGAAUAUUGUAAGCAUUUCAUUUAUUCCAGGCUUGGGGAAGUGAACUAUACCUGAAUGUGUGUGAGGACUGAAUUACAGAUAACUCUUAAACAAAUGUGGCUUUUAUUACCUUUAACUACAUACAGUAACUUCAACAAAACAUUACAAAGUAGAAGUCCUUAAGGGGACCCUUUGCAAUAAAUCAUAUGAACAUUCUGUUAUUAGCAUAUAGAUUGGAUGUAUGGAGGAGCUCAGAAAGGGCCAAGUUCCCUGAAAAUGGUUUAUUCUAUGUCUAAAAAUUGUACAUAAGGCUGAAAUUACAUGUUUAAAACACCAUAUCUUAUCUACCCAUAAAUACAGCCUUUGCAAAGCAAAAGUAAACAUAAGCCCAGUCUGUGAACAAAUUAUCAAAAAGUUUUGAAUGUACCAGGGCCCCAUAUUAACUAUAUGGUACCACAUGGGCAGAAAUAACUUAAAGAAUAGGUAGAGGGGGGUUGCCCCUAAAUCUCAGAUUCUGGGGCUUUCACUAAUGAGUCAGGAGCCUAUUUACACUAUUAAUCCCCAAAGUAAUUGCUUAUUUGAAGAAGUUCUGUCCUUGGGGUUUCCGUUAAUUAAAUCCUUUUGCAGUUUAUACACACUUUUCAAAUUCUCCAGUCCUGUUUUUCAUAAGCCAAAUUCAAAUAGGCUCAUGUUAUAAUGCCUUUUAUUAAGGCAUCAACCUUUUGGUUUUAAGGACAUCUCAGAACAGCUAUGUACAUAAGAACUGCUAAAUCAAAUUCCCUGUAUUUUAGAAAAGUCAACCUAUUAAAGGUUAUUAUGUGAAAUGUUCUCCUUGUGGUGGUGAAGUAUAGUUUUAUGCCUAACACAUGUCUAAUUUCUAAGGUUUCAUAAGUUCCAUUUAUUCUGGUUUUUUUUCUGCUUUGACUCUGCACGUCUAUUUUUAACUAUCACUGCCUUUAGGAUUUCAGGCAAGCUUUUGAGGGUACAUGUAUUUUAAAUAUAUUUUUAUGAAAUCUUGGAG